rfam:Erinaceus europaeus unplaced genomic scaffold scaffold00306, whole genome shotgun sequence
AAGUUUGAGGGCCAUCUGCUGUAGCAUCUGUCACUCCACUGAUUACUAGGGUUGAUCUGGCUGACCUGGCUGGUUAGGCAGGUGUCCCCUUCCUCUCUCACGUCAUAAUGUCCCUCCAAAAUCUGCAUGCUCAGUCUAAGAGGACAACCUUCUACAAAUAGAGAUGAACACGUCUUCAGCUGAGUGUAUACAAGAAACAGCACGUCUCUGCUAGAACCUCCAAACAAGAUCUCAAAAUCAAAGAGGUUAAGAAUUAAAGCAGUGCUGCUAUGGCAUAGGUAUAUCCAGAUCUCAUUGAAUAGAUAUAUUUGUUUCCUUA